ACAUGGAAACUACCCGGUGUUAUCUAUCAGCAUCAUUAUUGCUCUUAGGAGUUAGAACAUAAGAUUUCAAACAGAUGGAGGCAACUGGAAUGCAAAGAAAAAGCUGGAUACAAGAGUUUAGGAUUAAAGGAACUGAGGGAGGCAGAUGCUUAGAACACAGACAGCCAAGGUCAGAACGAAGGCAGGGAACAUGCCCAACCUCCAAUCAAACAUGUCUGGACCUGAUUACUGCUUUGGAAAAAGCAGUGUCUAUCAAACUCCUGGAGUAACCAGCAAGAUGAACGUUCCAUGCUGGCCCUCACAGGUAAGGUACUUGUUUG